rnacentral:rRNA from 1 species
AACGAACGCUGGCGGCAGGCUUAACACAUGCAAGUCGAACGCCCCGCAAGGGGAGUGGCGCACGGGUGAGUAACGCGUGGGAAUAUGCCCUUCGGUUCGGAAUAACACAGGGAAACUUGUGCUAAUACCGGAUACGAUCUACGGAUGAAAGAUUUAUCGCCGAGGGAGUAGCCCGCGUAGGAUUAGCUAGUUGGUGAGGUAAUGGCUCACCAAGGCGACGAGCCUUAGCUGGUCUGAGAGGAUGAUCAGCCACACUGGGACUGAGACACGGCCCAGACUCAUACGGGAGGCAGCAGUGGGGAAUAUUGGACAAUGGGCGAACGCCUGAUCCAGCCAUGCCGCGUGAGUGAUGAAGGCCUUAGGGUUGUAAAGCUCUUUCGCCAGGGAAGGUAAUGACGGUACCUGGAAAAGAAGCCUCGGCUAACUCCGUGCCAGCCGCCGCGGUAA